GACGAACGCUGGCGGCGUGCUUAACACAUGCAAGUCGAACGGAAAGGCCUGCUUUCCCUUGUGGAUUGCGGGUACUCGAGUGGCGAACGGGUGAGUAACACGUGAGUGAUCUGCCCCAAACUUGGGUAUAAGCCUGGGAAACUGGGUCUAAUUCCCGAUAGGACUGCAGGGUGGUGCCUGUGGUGGAAAACGAUUUUCUAGUGGUUGGGGAUGAGCUCGCGGCCUAUCAGCUUGUUGGUGGGGUAAUGGCCUACCAAGGCGGCGACGGGUAGCCGGCCUGAGAGGGUGGACGGCCACAUUGGGACUGAGAUACGGCCCAGACUCCUACGGGAGGCAGCAGUGGGGAAUAUUACACAAUGGGCGGAAGCCUGAUGCAGCGACGCCGCGUGGGGGAUGACGGCCUUCGGGUUGUAAACUCCUUUCGACCGCGAGGAAGCCACCUGGUUGGAAGGGUGGUGACGGUAGUGGUAGAAGAAGCACCGGCUAACUACGUG
rnacentral:rRNA from 1 species